UCAAAAGUGCUUCUUGCCCCCAGACCUGUUAAGACCAGUUAAGCUGAUUAUUUAAAAAGAUUUAUUUUAUUUGUUUUAAUGGCAAAAUUAGAGAGAGAGAGAGAGAGAGUCUUCCAUAGGCUGGGUCACUCCAAAUGGCUGCGAUGGUUGGCACUCAGCCAGGCAGAAGCCAGGAGCCAGGAACUCCAUCCGGGUCUCCCACGUGGGUUGCAGGAGUCCAAGUGCUUGGGCCAUCUUCCACUGCGCGUUAGCAGGAAGCUGGAUCAUGCGUGGAGAAGCUGGAGACUCGAACAAGUGCGCCUAUGGAAUGUUGGCAUUGCAGGGGGUGGCUUACUUUACCAGCUAUGCCACAACACGGGCCCAAGCUGGUUUAUUUCGUUGUUUUGUUUGUUUGUUUUGGUAAAUGAUAUUCACCCAUGGAAUAGAGUAAUCGCAGGCAAGUUGAAUUCCUGGAGAGUGGAAGCUUGAAGGUGGUCAAAAGGGGGACGGGUAUUCUUGGAGGAGGGAACACAUUCUGCAAAGCGUCUUAGGCAGAACAAGACUUUCUUUGUGGCACUUAAGGAAUGCCAUGUGCUGUGGCUUCAGCUUCCUGUGGGAAAGCAGGAAGACGUGAGGCUGAAAUGGAGAGCGGAUCUGAGCAGGAGGAGGGUUACCUCCCUAAUACGCACCUGUUCUCCAGGAGUAGAAUCUCCCUUUGGAGUCUUUGGAGGAGACCUUCAUGAUGGUUAAUCCAAGGCGGCGCCUUGCUGACGUCAUGGUUAACCAGUUUCUGCUGGAGAAAGCACUUACAGGCAUGAGCCAAGUCAACAGAUUGUGCACAAUGCAAAAUACAGGAGGUCCUGUUCAUUGCACGUGGAGCUUCCUCCCUAGCAAGAACCACAGCUGCGGCUGGGGCUUCCUGCCCACAUUCCAGCAGACCUUGCCCUGCAGGGGCUGCGAUCCAGCUGACCGGAAGCACUCGGGUAUGAGCAACUUCCGGCUCAGCCCCCAGCUGAUGAUGAGGGGGAGUUACUGCAGAACACUCCCUGGUCCCCCUCGCAUAGGGGCUUCACCCCGAGGUAGCUGCUUCCUAGAGAUGUCUCAGAAACAUUGCGCCUUAGAUGCCGAUGAGAAGGAAGCCUCCUCUGGACGGAGGCCACAGCAGACCCAGAGAGUCCUCUCAGAAGCCUCAUGAAUUUCCCCAGGACAGAGACUUAAAUGACGAGAGGUUGGUUGAGUACAAGUCUCAGACCCUCUCACUCACUGCAAUAUGGUCCAGGAGGCGGCAGGUGAGAGGCGUCUUACAGGGGAUGCAAGUCACUCAUGCGUGGAUCCUGAAACUCUUCUCUAAAUCCUAUUUUGACGCUAUUUAGUUUCUGAGAGAGAGAGAGGAGAGAGGAGAGAGGAGAGAGAGGAGAGAGGAGAGAGAGGAGAGAGGAGAGAGGAGAGAGGAGAGAGGAGAGAGGAAGUGAGCGAGUGCUCUCGGAAGCCAGGAACUGAGAACUCCAUCCAAGCCUUUUACAUGGAUUUUGGAAACCCAGUCAUUAGAGCUUUCCCUGCUGCCUCCCAGGGUCUGCAUCAGCAGGAAGCUGGAGUUCGGAGCUGGAGCUGAGCAUUGAACCUAGACACUCUGAUACGGGGCACAGGUAUCUUAAUCGGUGUCUUAAUUGCGAGACUAAAUGCUCACUCAAAUUCCUUAACUUUUUCUGCCUUGUGGAACACUGAUUCAAAUGGCAGUGGUGGAGCACUUGGAAGGAGCCCGCCCAGACACAUGCAAGGAUGUGUCAGUACACUUCAGGAGACAGGAAGAAGUCUCCCUCUGCUUGGGUUUCUUGUCUUGAAAAAGAUACAUGGGGGCCAGCGCUGUAGCCUAGCGGCUAAAGCCACCACCUGCAGUGCCGGCAUCCCAUAUGGGUGCCAGUCUGAAUCCUGGCUGCUCCACUUCCAAUCCAGCUCUCUGCUAUGGCCUGGGAAAGCAGUGGAAGACGGCCCAAGUGCUUGGGUCCUUGCACCAGUGUGAGAGACCCGGAAGAAGCUCCUGGCUCCUGGCUCCGGCUGUUGCAGCCAUUUCGGGAGUGAACCAGUGGAUGGAAGACCCCUCUCUCUCUCUGCCUCUCCUCUCUCUGUGUAACUUUACCUUUCCAAUAAAUAAAUAAAUCUUUAAAAAAAAGAAGAAGAA
ensembl:lncRNA